CAACAUAUUUGCCAGGUUGCGGUCAGAACUCCACCGGUUCCCAUUAUAGUUAAUGGGGCCAGACAACAACGCUGUAGCUUCGGGCAAUGCCCGAUUACAGAGACGGAUCCGACAGGCUUUUCCCUG